rnacentral:rRNA from 1 species
GAGGAGCUGCCCUUAGUACGAGAGGACCGGGGUGGACUGGCCUCUGGUGUAUCUGUUGAACUAUCAAGUUCAUGGCAGAGUAGCCAAGCCGGGACGGGAUAAACGCUGAAGGCAUCUAAGCGUGAAGCCCCCCUCAAGAUGAGAUAUCCCAUACGCAAGUAGUAAGACCCCUUGAAGACGACGAGGUAGAUAGGGCAGAGGUGGAAGCGUAGUAAUACGUGAAGCUGACUGUUACUAAUCGGUCGAGGGCUUAACCAAAA